rnacentral:rRNA from 1 species
AAUAGAUACCCGGGUAGUCCACGCCGUAAACGAUGAGUGCUAAGUGUUAGAGGGUUUCCGCCCUUUAGUGCUGCAGCUAACGCAUUAAGCACUCCGCCUGGGGAGUACGGCCGCAAGGCUGAAACUCAAAGGAAUUGACGGGGGCCCGCACAAGCGGUGGAGCAUGUGGUUUAAUUCGAAGCAACGCGAAGAACCUUACCAGGUCUUGACAUCCUCUGACAACCCUAGAGAUAGGGCUUUCCCCUUCGGGGGACAGAGUGACAGGUGGUGCAUGGUUGUCGUCAGCCCGUGUCGUGAGAUGUUGGGUUAAGUCCCGCAACGAGCGCAACCCUUGAUCUUAGUUGCCAGCAUUCAGUUGGGCACUCUAAGGUGACUGCCGGUGACAAACCGGAGGAAGGUGGGGAUGACGUCAAAUCAUCAUGCCCCUUAUGACCUGGGCUACACACGUGCUACAAUGGAUGGUACAAAGGGCUGCAAACCUGCGAAGGUAAGCGAAUCCCAUAAAGCCAUUCUCAGUUCGGAUUGCGGGCUGCAAC